rnacentral:rRNA from 1 species
CCUACGGGAGGCAGCAGUGAGGAAUAUUGGUCAAUGGGCGCGAGUCUGAACCAGCCAAGUAGCAUGAAGGAUGACUGCCCUAUGGGUUGUAAACUUCUUUUAUAUGGGAAUAAAACGUUCCACGUGUGGGAUUUUGUAUGUACCAUAUGAAUAAGGAUCGGCUAACUCCGUGCCAGCAGCCGCGGUAAUACGGAGGAUCCGAGCGUUAUCCGGAUUUAUUGGGUUUAAAGGGAGCGUAGGUGGAUUGUUAAGUCAGUUGUGAAAGUUUGCGGCUCAACCGUAAAAUUGCAGUUGAAACUGGCAGUCUUGAGUACAGUAGAGGUGGGCGGAAUUCGUGGUGUAGCGGUGAAAUGCUUAGAUAUCACGAAGAACUCCGAUUGCGAAGGCAGUUCACUGGACUGCAACUGACACUGAGGCUCGAAAGUGUGGGUAUCAAACAGGAUUAGAUACCCCUGUAGUC